GCCUUCAUGGUGCCAUUGGAAGCACGUCCUGCUAGCAAUCGGGAGGUCCGAGGUUCAAAUCCUGGUGAAGGCA
rnacentral:tRNA from 1 species